AAGGAUUGUAAAAUCAACUUAAUAAACACUUCUUUGCCUCCCUGAGAAAGUAGUCGAGUACUCCAACUGUCCACCCAGCCUCUAAAUCUAUCUCGUAAACCUUGAAAAGUUUCCCUCUUACUUCUCACAACCAUGGUAGGCAAACUCAAAUAUCUCUUAAUAUUCCAUGUCCUCAGAACCCCAAGCAACUGAACAAUCAUAUCACAGCAAUUCUCGAAACAUUUGAGCUAAAGAAAAC
rnacentral:lncRNA from 1 species